rnacentral:rRNA from 1 species
UUCCAGACUCCUACGGGAGGCAGCAGUGGGGGAUAUUGCACAAUGGGGGAAACCCUGAUGCAGCGACGCCGCGUGAAGGGUGAAGUAUUUCGGUAUGUAAACUUCUAUCAGCAGGGAAGAAAAUGACGGUACCUGACUAAGAAGCCCCGGCUAACUACGUGCCAGCAGCCGCGGUAAUACGUAGGGGGCAAGCGUUAUCCGGAUUUACUGGGUGUAAAGGGAGCGUAGACGGCAUGGCAAGUCUGAUGUGAAAACCCGGGGCUCAACCCCGGGACUGCAUUGGAAACUGUCAGGCUAGAGUGUCGGAGAGGCAAGUGGAAUUCCUAGUGUAGCGGUGAAAUGCGUAGAUAUUAGGAGGAACACCAGUGGCGAAGGCGGCUUACUGGACUGUAACUGACGUUGAGGCUCGAAGGCGUGGGGAGCAAACAGGAUUAGAUACCCGCGUA